AUUGAACGCUGGCGGCAGGCCUAACACAUGCAAGUCGAGCGAGCGGCGGACGGGUGAGUAAUGUAUGGCGACUGCCCCCUAGAGGGGGAUCACUACUGGAAACGGUGGCUAAUAACUCCAAGUAAGGGAUAGCCCAUAUGGGAUGAGCUAGUAGGUGAGGUAAUGGCUUACCUAGGCGACGAUCCCUAGCUGGUCUGAGAGGAUGAUCAGCAAAACGGCGACUGGGACACGGCCAAGACUCCGACGGAGGCAGGGGUGGGGAAUAUUGGACAAUGGGCGCAAGCCUGAAGCAGCCAUGCCGCGUGUAUGAAGAAGGCCCUAGGGGUGUAAAGUACUUUCAGUCGGGAGGCGUUACCGACAGAAGAAGCACCGGCUAACUCCGUGCCAGCAGCCGCGGUAAUUC
rnacentral:rRNA from 1 species